UACGUAGGGGGCAAGCGUUGUCCGGAUUUACUGGGCGUAAAGAGCGUGUAGGCGGCCAGGCAGGUCCGUUGUGAAAACUGGAGGCUUAACCUCCAGACGUCGACGGAAACCGCGUGGCUAGAGUCCGGAAGAGGAGAGUGGAAUUCCUGGUGUAGCGGUGAAAUGCGCAGAUAUCAGGAAGAACACCAAUGGCGAAGGCAGCUCUCUGGGACGGUACUGACGCUGAGACGCGAAAGCGUGGGGAGCGAACAGG
rnacentral:rRNA from 1 species